CGCUGGCGGCGUGCCUAACACAUGCAAGUCGAGCGAGGAGAUCCUCGGGAUGAUCCUAGCGGCGGACGGGUGAGUAACACGUGGACAAUCUGCCCCCCGGCCCGGGAUAGCCCAGGGAAACCUGGAUUAAUACCGGAUGAGACGGGACCCGCGAUGGCGGGAUCCGGGAAAGGCGCUGCGGCGCCGCCGGGGGAUGAGUCUGCGUCCCAUUAGCUAGACGGCGGGGUAACGGCCCACCGUGGCGACGAUGGGUAGCCGACCUGAGAGGGUGAUCGGCCACAUUGGGACUGAGACACGGCCCAGACUCCUACGGGAGGCAGCAGUGGGGAAUAUUGCACAAUGGGGGAAACCCUGAUGCCAGCAACGCCGCGUGAGUGAUGACGGCCUUCGGGUUGUAAAGCUCUGUCCUCAGGGACGAUAAUGACGGUACCUGAGGAGGAAGCCACGGCUAACUACGUGCCAGCCGCCGC
rnacentral:rRNA from 1 species